rnacentral:tRNA from 1 species
CGGGGCGUAGCGCAGUCUGGUCAGCGCGCCGCGUUCGGGACGCGGAGGCCGGCAGUUCAAAUCUGCCCGCCCCGACCA